rnacentral:misc_RNA from 1 species
UGGACCCUCCAGAGACUGCCCUGC